rnacentral:rRNA from 1 species
GACGAACGCUGGCGGCGUGCCUAAUACAUGCAAGUUGAGCGCUGAAGGUUGGUACUUGUACCAACUGGAUGAGCAGCGAACGGGUGAGUAACGCGUGGGGAAUCUGCCUUUGAGCGGGGGACAACAUUUGGAAACGAAUGCUAAUACCGCAUAAAAACUUUAAACACAAGUUUUAAGUUUGAAAGAUGCAAUUGCAUCACUCAAAGAUGAUCCCGCGUUGUAUUAGCUAGUUGGUGAGGUAAAGGCUCACCAAGGCGAUGAUACAUAGCCGACCUGAGAGGGUGAUCGGCCACAUUGGGACUGAGACACGGCCCAAACUCCUACGGGAGGCAGCAGUAGGGAAUCUUCGGCAAUGGACGAAAGUCUGACCGAGCAACGCCGCGUGAGUGAAGAAGGUUUUCGGAUCGUAAAACUCUGUUGGUAGAGAAGAACGUUGGUGAGAGUGGAAAGCUCAUCGAGUGGCGGUAACUACCCAGAAAGGGACGGCUAACUACGUG